CGGAUUGGAGUCUGCAACCCGACUCCAUGAAGCUGGAUUCGCUAGUAAUCGCGCAUCAGCCACGGCGCGGUGAAUACGUUCCCGGGCCUUGUACACACCGCCCGUCAAGCCAUGGAAGCCGGGGGUGCCUGAAGUGCGCUGCCGCAAGGAGCGCCCUAGGGUAAAACCGGUGACUGGGGCUAAGUCGUAACAAGGUACC
rnacentral:rRNA from 1 species